rnacentral:lncRNA from 1 species
UCAAUUGGCUUGGUGUCGUGGCAUUCCUGUAUCCUCCUCCCUUCUGCUAGUGAUGGUCUAAAAUUUGGGGGCCAAUGGCUACAUGUCAGACCGGUAGUCAGUGACGGGUAUGAUCCAAUUGCAGUGGUAUCAACCUAAGACAGGAGGCUGACACCUAAAGGUCAGUUUUCCGAUGAUGGGUAAGAACCAUAUGUUGAAUUGGACAACCUACCAGGCACAGUCCUUAAGCCACAUUGCUUGUUGUUUAAUUAAUCAGAAGGG